rnacentral:lncRNA from 1 species
ACGUAGAGAUUAUUAUACACAACAAAGCUUGAUUAGAGUGAGAGUAAUUUUAAGAAGGUACAGGGAAAGAGUGAGAACUAAUGGCAAGAGUUUCCAGAGGAUAGAAGGGCAUUAAAGAUAUUUUCACAAUUAUGAAUAAAGUUAACGAUGCAAUUGCUACAUGUCAAACUUUGAGUGAUUAAGUGACGAGGGCGUAAACAAACUAAUGAUAUUUUCUCAAUUAUGAGCAAAGUUAAGGAUGCUACUGCUAUAUGACAAAAUAUCUGUGGUAAAGUGACCAGAAAGUUAACAGGAAUUAAACUAAGAAUAUGAUAUCACUUUUUUUCUCAAUUAUGGGCGAAGUUAAUGGCGCUCUAUCUUCUUCUUAGAUAAAUAGGCGAAGACUCAAAUGCUGAAAUCACCAAUGCUAAAAAAGCCUAAAUAUCAAUCAACAUGCAGCAAAAAAUUCUAACUAAAAAUGCCAAAAUUUUUCAUCAACAUUUGAUGAUCUCCCCAGAAACUGCACCAAGAAAUGGUAGUAUAUCUUAUUAACAGGAAAAAGGAAUACCUCACAAGAACAAAGCACUGAUUUUUUACAAUAUUGAAGAAAUUCUUUUAGUAGAAAAAAGCAAUAAAAUAAACAUGUGAAAAGGAUAAAAUUGCAUAUAAGAUGAAGCUGAAGAGAAAUUAAUAACCAAUUAAAAAUGAGAGGUGAGAAUUAUUUCAAGACUUUACCUUGCGAAGAGUAUACUAGAUUGGACAGAAAUAUUAUUUUGAUAAAGCUUAAGUAGAGGGAGAGAGUAAAUUUAAGAAACUUGGAAUAGAGGGCUACAGAGUGUAGAUAGAUAGAGAGAGAGAGAGAGAGAGAGAGAGAGAGAGAGAGAG